GACGAACGCUGGCGGUGUGCCUCACACAUGCAAGUCGAGCGGAUUUACUUAGUAGCUUGCUAUUAAGUAAGUUAGCGGCGGACGGGUGAGUAAUGCGUAGGAAUCUACCCUAAGGUAGGGGAUAACGGGCUGAAAGGUCCGCUAAUACCCCAUAUGCGGGUUCGUCUUCGGAGGAUUCGUGAAAGGAGCAAUUCGCCUUUGGAUGAGCCUGCGUCUGAUUAGCUAGUUGGUAGGGUAAAAGCCUACCAAGGCUACGAUCGGUAGUUGGUCUGAGAGGAUGAUCAGCCACAAUGGGACUGAGACACGGCCCAUACUCCUACGGGAGGCAGCA
rnacentral:rRNA from 1 species